GGCUCGGUGGUGUAGUUGGUUAUCACGUCAGUCUCACAUGGCAUUCUCAUGUGUGCUCACUGAAGGUCCCGAGUUCGAGCCUCGGCUGAGUCA